CAAUAGCGUAUAUUUAAGUUGUUGCAGUUAAAAAGCUCGUAGUUGGAUUUCGGGUGUGAACGACCGGUCCGUCUUUGAUGUGUACUGGUUGGUUGCGCCUUAUUGUCGAGGACGUGGUUCUAGCUUUCAUUAGCCGGGACACGGAGUCGGCAGUGUUACUUUGAGAAAAUUAGAGUGUUCAAAGCAGGCUAUCGCUCUGAAUACUACAGCAUGGAAUAACACGAUAGGACUCCGAGCCUAUUCUGUUGGUCUUCGGGACCGGAGUAAUGAUUAAGAGGGACAGUUGGGGGCAUUCGUAUUCCGAUGUCAGAGGUGAAAUUCUUGGAUUAUCGGAAGACGAGCAUCUGCGAAAGCAUUUGCCAAGGAUGUUUUCAUUAA
rnacentral:rRNA from 1 species